GUCAGGUUCUUUCCCUGCCUUCGCCACCUCCCCCCUUCCCCAAAUUCCCAGAAAGAAACAGGACAGGAGCCAAGGGCUGGAACUUUAUUAUUGUCACAGAGCACAGGAGAGACCGCUUGGGUCUCAAUGAAGGUUUGCUUUUCCUCUUCUCCAGGGGAAGCUACUGCAAGAAGGCCCACCAGCCAGGCUAGGUCAAAUGGGGUUGGGGCCACAACAUGAUAGUUAAACCCAUAAACACAGACUUGAUUCGAUCCCAGCUUCACGACUUCUUAGCUGUGUGACCUUAGGUAAGUCUGUUAACCUCUCUCAGCCUUGGCUUUGUGGAGUGGAGUGAAGAGCAGGGCCUGCUUCACUGGGGUGUUAUCAGGAUGGAGGGGGACAAGGCCUAUGAAAGUGUUUAGCACAGCGCCUGGCAGAUCGUGACCAGUCACGGAGUGGAAGCUAUCAUGAUCAAAUCUGAUUUCUCCACGGUCAGGCCAGCCCUGUCACUACGGAUGAGGAAGAGGGGGUCUCAUUUCAUAAAUGCCUUCAAUGCGGCCUGUGAGAAAGACAGCUUGGGACACCUGUGUGAGCUGCCUAGUCUCUGGCAAUGUGGGAGUCGGACCCAAACAUGAGGGUUCUGGGGCCUUGGCACUUACUACCAUUUCUACAUCUCCAUGAAAAGCCCUAGCAAGAGUACGGGGAAAGUUCUAAUUUUUUUUUUUUUGAGACAGAGUUUCGCUUUUGUCCCCCACGCUGGAGUGCAGUGGCGCGAUCUCAGCUCACUGCAACCUCUGCCUCCCGGGUCCAAGCAAUUCUCCUGCCUCAGCCUCCUGAGUAGCUGAGAUUAUAGGUGGCCACCACCAUGCCCAGCUAAUUUUUUGUAUUUUUAGUAGAGACGGGGUUUUGCCAUGUUGGGCAGGCCGGUCUUGAACUCCUGACCUCGUGAUCCACCCGCCUGGGCCUCCCAAAGUGUUGGGAUUACAGGUGUGAGCCACCGCGCCCGGCCGGAAAGUUCUGAUUUUGCACCUGGAUUACAUUAGGUCUUCUGUCAUUCAGUUAGUUAGCAUUCUCUAUAGGCAGUCAGAGAGGCUGACUUUUAAAAUUAUUUAGGUAUUUUUUAGAGACAGGGUCUCCCUAUCUUGCUCAGGCUGGAGUGCAUUGGCUAUUCACAGGCACAAUCAUAGCUCUCUGCAGCCAGGAACUCCCAAGCUCAAGUGGUCCUCCCCCGUCGGCCUCCUCAGUAGCUGGGACUGUAGGCACUCACCACUGUGCCUGACUUUUUAUUUUUGUAGAUUUUGCUUUUGGCUAAGAAAUUGCCAUAGGCCAUUGGACUUGAAAUCAGCGCUGGCCCUGCCUUUUGCUGUCUGGGCGACCUUGGGCUGGCCACUUUACCUCUCUGAGCCUCACUGAUCCCACAGAUCUACGUAAGGAGGGCUUUGAGGAUGAACCAGCCUGUGGAAGUAAAUGAGAGGAAGUGAUGGGGGCAUUGCUGGUGGUGCAACAAUGGAGAGGGUUUCAGUAGUCACUGGCUCAAAAGUGAGGGGGCAAAAGGAACCUCAGUGUGUGUGUGUGUGUGUGUGUGUGUGUGUGUGUGUCCAACGUCUUGUAGCAAGGUUAGCAAUCACCAUGUGUAGGGGAAGAGCCAUAGUGUUCCUAGGGUGGGUAGAGAUGCCACAAGAGGGCGUUCUGAGUUUUCAUCUUCUCUACCUUGAAAAAUUUUCCAUUUGUUCUCUGGCUGCAUUCCAAAUCGAACGAAGACUUAAGGUUUUUAGUUUACCUAACUGAUUGAAUACACUUUUAAAAUGAAUUCAUGUGUGUUUACUAGUUUAUCAGUCAUGUGGAUGCAAUACCGCAGCCCCUGUCGCAAGGCGCGUUGGGAAGUGGGUUGAGGGUGUGGUGGAGACAAGAAACGCAUGCCUGAUGGUGUCCUGGUUCAACCGCUGCUCAGCCGGGUGGCCUUGGACAAAUUUCCCAAGAGUACGGCAGUGCUGAAGUUCCCACAUCCAGCCUCACAGGGCACUUCCAGGCUGAUGGCUGCAGAACAACUUCUCUCUUCCUGAGCUACAGUGCUUCAUCUCAGACUCCCAACUGACCAGAGAUGCAGCACUGCACCUCAGGCUGGGAGACAGGGCGCUGCGCUGCUCCGCUCUGGUGGCCUGUGGCGGGACUCCAACCUGGCCAGGAGAAGGGGUGUUAGAGGGGACCUGGGCUCCACCUCUCCAGCUCUGGCCGGGAGGCUGUUGUAAUUCCUCACAACUGUGUUUCCUGUCUGUGGCCUGCCAUUUGAGCACCCAGGACCAAACCUUGACCUUUUUUCUCUUCUUUUCUUUGUUUCUUUCCUUUUCUUGUCAAGAACAGCUUAAUUUAGAAGGAGGACAUUUAGUGAGUACAAUUAACAGGUUUUUAAUAUAUUCACAAAGUUGUGCAAACAAUGGCACAAUAUAUUUUAGGUUAUUUCACCAUCCAAAAAAGAAGCUCCUUAUCCUUAGACAACCCCUAGUCCUGGGCAGACCAGUUUCUAUCUCUAUAGAUCUGUCUAUAUAUUUUCUGGAUAUUUCAAUACAUGGAAUUAUUUAAUAUGUUGACCUACCUUUUGAUGCCAUGCCCCACCUUUAUGCUUGGCGCAUUCCAGCCUAACAGCAUCAUUCAUGGUACUUAACAUUUUAUAUCAUCGAGCAAUCAAUUGUCUCCAACCUAUCUUUCUUCUGCCACUCCUCCUCUCUUCCCAGCCAUCUUCCCAUAAUGAUUUUUCAAGAUGCAAAUAUGCUCAUAUCUUACUCAAGUUUAAUAUCCCAAAAGGGCUCCCCAUUGCCCUCAGGCUGAAUUCUGAAGCCCUUCCCAAAGCCUGCGAGGGUCUGCCGCAUCUAGCCCCAGUGACCUCUUCCUCUUGGGCUACAGCUCAUAGAUGUCCUUCCAUUCUCCUAGGGAGCCCUGUGCCCACCCACUUCGGGCUCCCAGGGACUGUGCUGCUCCCCGUCACUCUCCCUGCCCAUCUCUUCCUCCUGUGCUAGGUCUCUAAUCAAGUGGCCACUCUGGGAAACCCUCCUUGACUUUUUUUUUUUUUUGAGACAGAGUCUCCCUCUGUCGCCCAGGCUGGAGUGCAGUGACACGAUCUCGGCUCACUGCAAACUCCACCUUCCGGGUUAAAGCAAUUCUCAUGCCCCAGCCUCCCAAGUAGCUGGGACUACAGGCGUGCACCACCAUGCCUGGCUAAUUUUUGUAUUUUUAGUAGAGACAGGGUUUCACCACGUUGCCCAGGCUGGUCUAGAACUCCUGACCUCAGGUGAUCCACCCGCCUUGGUCUCCCAAAGUGCUGGGAUUAUAGGCAUGAACCACAGUGCCCAGCCCCUCCUUUACUUCUUUAGCCAUCAGCACCCCCUGCUUCAUGUUCUCGCCCACCCGGUGCCCUCUUUCUAACCCUUUACCAUGCUGGUAAUGUGGUUUUCACUUACGACCACCUCCACUUGUGGACUACAUGGCUCACCUGUGAAGGGAAGGGACCCUGUCAACUGUGCUCACUACUGAAAUCAGGGCCAGGUGGUGUAGAUGCCACAUAAGCCCAGGUUGAAUGGCUGAAUCAUAAUUCCCAAUCUCAUUAUCUCUAGUAUCAGUGUUAUUUGUGUGUGGGUCUGACCUGGCUAGAUCUCCACUUCCUGAGGACAGUGCCUGUGUCUUGUUAAUUUGGGGGGCCCUGGGUCUGACCUGUGGCUUGGUACAUGAUGAUGGACCUAGGUAAUGCCAUUUGGUGGCUGAUUGGAUGACCAUGUAGAUAAUUCAUUUUGUUUUCUGGGCCCGGCUUGGGUGGGAACUUUCAGGUGAGCAGGCAAAGCCCCUUCUCACUCUUCCUGCCCUGCCAAGAUCUCAGGGCACCCCAGAGGACCUUCUUGCAUUGCUUAGUGGUCACUGUGGUGGCCUUGAUGUUGGAUGACAUAUAUUUUCAGGAAUGUCUGAAGGGGAUGGGUAGCCUUUCUUCAGGGCUGAGAGAGAACAGAAAAAAUAUACCUCCUUAAAAAAACAAAAACAGAGCUGGGAGCAGUGCUCAUGCCUGUAAUCCUAGCACUUUGGGAGGCUCAGGCAGGAGGAUCGCUUGAGCCUAGAGUUCAAGAUCAGCCUGGGCAACAUGGGGAGCCCUUGUCUCUAAUAAAAAAAAAAAAAAAGGCUGGG
rnacentral:lncRNA from 10 species